CCUACGGGUGGCAGCAGUGGGGAAUAUUGGACAAUGGGCGAAAGCCUGAUCCAGCCAUGCCGCGUGUGUGAAGAAGGCCUUCGGGUUGUAAAGCACUUUCAGUGGGGAAGAAAGCCUUGGGGCUAAUACCCUCGAGGAAGGACAUCACCCACAGAAGAAGCACCGGCUAACUCCGUGCCAGCAGCCGCGGUAAUACGGAGGGUGCGAGCGUUAAUCGGAAUUACUGGGCGUAAAGCGCGCGUAGGCGGUCUGAUAAGCCGGUUGUGAAAGCCCCGGGCUCAACCUGGGAACGGCAUCCGGAACUGUCAGGCUAGAGUGCAGGAGAGGAAGGUAGAAUUCCCGGUGUAGCGGUGAAAUGCGUAGAGAUCGGGAGGAAUACCAGUGGCGAAGGCAGCCGUCUGGACUGACACUGACGCUGAGGUGCGAAAGCGUGGGUAGCAAACAGGAUUAGAUACCCCAGUAGUC
rnacentral:rRNA from 1 species